CGGAGACCACCAAACUUUACAGCGAGCGAGCCUGCUUCCUGGAGGGAGUGCAGACAAGGACCAGGAGCGGGAGCCGAGCCUCGCGGCCCGGGGCACGGCGCCGCCCGCCCCUCCCCGGCAGUGCCUCCCGACCCCCUGCCCUCCGCUGGGACAUGGCCUGAGGCCCCGCCCGCCGCCCGGGACUCCUCCCCCCCGCUGCCCCCGGACCCUCGCCCCAGGACCGCGGGGUCUCUUCCCGGCCCCGCCGCCCGCCCCGGCGAGAACAGGCCCGGCGGGCAAGGCGGCGGCGGACCGAGGGAGGCCUGGCCCGGCAGCGGGGAGAAGGGUGCGGCGCAGCCCGAGUUUCCCACCUUUUCUCCUGGCCCAGACGCGGCUGGGGCGGACGGGACCUCUCGCGCUCUGCCUCCUCCUCUUGCUUCAUGGAGCCAUGCGCCUGGGUGGGGGCUCCCGAGAGAAGCUGGCCUGCGGGCGGGCCGGACGCGCUGCGCGGACGGGGCGGGGCGAAGGAGGCCGGCGGGCGGAGGAGGAAGCGGCGGGGCGGCGGCGGCGGCGGCGGCCGGGAAGAACUAGAGGUAUUCCCCGGGCGGCUGGAGGACUGAGUCGAGCCGGGACCCGAGUCCUCCGGUAUCCCAGCAGCCACCGGAGGCAGUGAGGUAAUGGAGGAAGAAUGUAGGGAGUCCUCCAGUGGACCACACUCCUUCUAGCGAGCCGCGGAAACCAUAGAGAUCAGGGCUCAGCCGGAGGGCCGGCCCACUGCUGUCACGUGGCCUCCAUCCGUGCGCUUUAUUGGCUGGUGCUGGCUUUACGGGGUUGAAUUUUGGACGCUGCCUGCCAUUCGUGGGACCGAGUUUCAGGCAGCUGGAAUAAAGAGAGACAUCGGGGGAAAGCCGCGAGAAGGCCAGCGUCCCUGGCUGGGAGCAGAGCUAGCCGAGUAGGGCGCCCGGCUGUCAAAACUGGCCGGCGCAGUGCACGCUGGGCCGCCCCGGAGCGGUCGCAGAGCCCGUCGGGAGUCGUAGUCCGGGACGGGCCCGCAGCAUUGUCCGCGACGCAGCUCGGGAUCCGCGUCGGGUUGUCGGCCGGGUUGCUGCCAGGCACCGUCGAGCGUUAGCCACCCAGCAUUGAGCUGCCAGCGGCUGUUCUCCCUAAGCACCCUCGCUCACGUCGCCUCGCCUCGCCUCGCCUGACCGGCCGCAGCCUUGGAUACCAGCCUUAAAUCGAGCCGACUACGGCCCAGCCCCGCCCGCGGCGAAGUGCGCGGGGUUCGGUGCCAGCCGCUCGCCCCUGGCCGGGCCAGCCUCUUGAUGCACCGGGGACGGGCGCGCCCAUCCGACUCUUCGAGGGGCGGCAGGGCCCCAUCUGUGUCUUUCGCUCUCGAGCCCCCAGCUAGAGUUGGCUUCAGCGGAAUACCUACUGUGCAGGAUUAUUCAACAAGCCGAUUGAUCACAUUCUUCAGCUCUAGCAGUGCAAAGGCUUCACUGAAAAAGAACAUUACAAAUUUUUUUUGAAAGAAAUUUGGGGGUAAAUUUAAUUUUAAAUACUGAUUUUUGAUAACAUUUGAUCUUAUGACAGCAUUUGUAUUUUUAAUUACAGAUAGGAUUACACUAAAAGUCAUUUCUGACCUGCUCCCUUACCCUUAUGGCUAAAAUAAACUGCUAGGCCCUGAAGCAAAGGCGAGCCAUGUUCUAGAGCAAUGUCUUUCUUGUAUUAAAAUACGGCCCCAUGCUCACAUAUAGGCUGUUUUGUGUUUUGCUUUUCUGUUGAUGCACAAAGGAAUCCUUGAUAUGUUUGUCCUCAAAGACCAAAGACAAGUAUCUAGUAAAAAAUGCAAAUCAUAUCUAACAGUGAAGCUUUCCAGCAAAAACCUUCUGCUCUAGAAUGCAUAAUUAUGCGAGCAUAAGAUCUACUACUCUAGACUUUUAGCAUAAUUACCUAUAGGCAGCAAAACCCUAGUCAAUUGAGUGUCUGGUGCCUCUUGGACCUGGACUUCUCCAAGAGAAUGGGCAAGGAGGACGAAAAGGAAGAGACAGCUAUGCUUUGUGAAACAGGAGGUGACUUAAAAAAAAAAUUCUAUAGCAGUCUUCUUAAUUCCUGUUACAGACUUGAUACGCUUAUCUGCUGUUGAGGACACGGUUGCCAGUUUCUAACCUUCUCUGUCUGCCUGAAAAACUAGAAAUUAGAUGAUCAUAUGGCCUAGAGCCAGAAGUGCAGGAGGCAGAAAGCCAGGGGCCAGUUUUUUUCUUUUUGUUUCUGAAUAAGAAGGCCAAAUCCUGACUUAAAAUAAUCAAAAUAAAUUUUACGGAGUGACGGUCUUUCCAGCUGAAAACCUUAAAACAUGGCAUCUGGAAGAAGGCCUUAGUCUAUUGCUCCCAGGAUGGUACUAUAUAGUCAUUAAAUAGCCCACAGAUAAGGGAGUUAUUGCCCCCUCGUUAUUGGGCUGCCAGGAAUUAAAUGAUGGAACUAAGUUUCACUUGAAACAUUCCCAAAUUAAAACAAAAACAAGCCUUGCUUUGAGCUGUUGAAAAGGCAUUUUACUGAGAAGAUCCAGAUGCUAUUGCUGUUCUUAAAUGAUGUUGAAAGGCAAAGGGUCAGGACUUUCAAAAAGUCACUUUGAGGUCACCUCACAUAAGCAAGCAACAGUUUGAACUGAUGCAAAAACAAACAAUGAAAUUAUGAACAGGAGGAAGAAACUAAAAUGAGGGCAGUAUAUGCCAUAAAUAUGGAAGAGGCUGUCUCUUAUUUAUCUUCUCAUUUCCUGUACAUAAUACAGAAACCUGGUAUGUAAUAGGCAUACAAUUAUUUGUGGCUCAACUGAAUAAACGAAGAUGGAAACCAGCAAGCAGCGGGCAGAUAAUAUACUUGGGAAAGGAGAACUGCAGAGACGCUGGGUGGUUCAAGGCUUCUGCAUGAUCCUCAAAUGUCACCCCAAUCUGCUGUGACAUAGCUAUACCACUCAUCAGAAUACCCCAAAACAAAUUGUCUGCCUCCCUUAUGUACAACUUUUAUUAUUUCUUAUCUCGGUUGGUUAAGAAUAUGUAGUAAUGGCCGGGCGCGGUGGCUCACGCCUGUAAUCCCAGCACUUUGGGAGGCCGAGGCAGGAGGAUCACCUGAGGUCAGGAGUUCGAGACCAGCCUCAACAUGGAGAAACCCCGUCUCUACUAAAAAUACAAAAUUAGCCGGGCGUGGUGGUGCAUACCUGUAAUUCCAGCUACUCGGGAGGCUGAGGCAGGAGAAUUGCUUGAACCUGGGAGGCAGAGUUUGCGGUGAGCUGAGAUCGCGCCAUUGCACUCCAUCCAGCCUGGGCAACAAGAGCGAAACUCCAUCUCAAAAAAAAAAAAAAAAAAAAAAGAAUAUGUAGUAAUGGUUAAGAGUCCACUGUGGAAUCAGCCUGCAUAGGUCCAAAUCCCAGCCCUGACUGAAUACCUGUGAACAAGUUAUAUCAGUGACUCAGGCUUAUUAUCUGUAAAAUGGGGAUUAUAGCAUUCCUGCCUCAUAGGGAUGUUAUGAGAUUUAAAUACCAAUAAGUCUGUACAUUAUAAACCUUAUCAGAUUGGUGUGGUGAAAAUGCUCAGUAACUGAGCCUCGUGAGCAUUAGAAUGUUGAGAUCAGCAUGAAGUUAGCCUGUAUACUGGGCAUACACAUUCUUCUGGAUUUGCUCCUUUUGUGAGCAAUCAAUGAUGAGCUAAAGGCAUUUGCUAACUAGUAGGAAUGAAAUAAGGUUUCAGACAGGAUCUUGGUGGGUGAUGUAGAUUUUAUCUGUCCCAUUUGUCCCAUUUCUCAACUGGAAGUGAGUCUGGCCUUGGUCUGCAUCUGUGCUCUCCCCUUCACAAAAGGCAGGCCCAGAGAGACUCCAGAGAUGGCCCCUGUCUCCUGUGUGUCCUCCGCCGCUGUGUCCACUUGGGCACGUCAAAGGAGGCCUUGAUGUGCAGACGCGAUGGGGCAACGAUGAGACCGAAUAAACAAUUGACAUCUAACCCCAGAAGAAGAGCAAGGACCUGGGACCCAGAAGGAAGAGGCUGUGAGAGGUACAAACUGCAGGCAUGGACAUGAUGCAUAUAGAGGACAGCCACACUAAGCUUUGAGGCUUCUGGAGGCAACACAGAGUAACCAUUUGAAUGGAAAUCACUGAACAGACACAGAGAAAGAGAAACCAUCCAAUGACUUGAGGGUGACACCAAGUUUGCCUGGUGGCCUCAGGACUCCUGGCUCACUGGUCCCACUGUCUCCCCCCGCCCAUCAGAAUACAUGAAGGCUGGUGGGGCACGGUGGCCCAUGUCUGUAAUCCCAACACUUUGGGAGGCCAAG
rnacentral:lncRNA from 1 species